rnacentral:rRNA from 1 species
AUUGAACGCUGGCGGCAGGCCUAACACAUGCAAGUCGAACGAGCGGCGGACGGGUGAGUAAUGUAUGGGAAUCUGCCCGAUAGAGGGGGAUAACUACUGGAAACUGUGGCUAAUACCGCAUACUAUCGGAUGAACCCAUAUGGGAUUAGCUAGUUGGUGGGGUAAAGGCUCACCAAGGCGACGAUCUCUAGCUGGUCUGAGAGGAUGACCAGCCACACUGGGACUGAGACACGGCCCAGACUCCUACGGGAGGCAGCAGUGGGGAAUAUUGCACAAUGGGCGCAAGCCUGAUGCAGCCAUGCCGCGUGUAUGAAGAAGGCCUUCGGGUUGUAAAGUACUUUCAGCGGGGAGGCGUUACCCGCAGAAGAAGCACCGGCUAACUCCGUGCCAGCAGCCGCGGUAAUAC